GCUAAUACCGCAUAAGCGCACAGCUUCGCAUGAAGCAGUGUGAAAAACUCCGGUGGUAUACGAUGGAUCCGCGUCUGAUUAGCUGGUUGGCGGGGUAAAGGCCCACCAAGGCGACGAUCAGUAGCCGGCCUGAGAGGGUGAACGGCCACAUUGGGACUGAGACACGGCCCAAACUCCUACGGGAGGCAGCAGUGGGGAAUAUUGCACAAUGGGGGAAACCCUGAUGCAGCGACGCCGCGUGAGUGAAGAAGUAUUUCGGUAUGUAAAGCUCUAUCAGCAGGGAAGAAAAUGACGGUACCUGACUAAGAAGCCCCGGCUAACUACGUGCCAGCAGCCGCGGCAAUACGUAGGGGGCAAGCGUUAUCCGGAUUUACUGGGUGUAAAGGGAGCGUAGACGGCAGCGCAAGUCUGGAGUGAAAGCCCAUGGCUUAACCGCGGAACUGCUUUGGAAACUUUUUGGCUGGAGUACCGGAGAGGUAAGCGGAAUUCCUAGUGUAGCGGUGAAAUGCGUAGAUAUUAGGAGGAACACCAAUGGCGAAGGCGGCUUACUGGACGGUAACUGACGUUGAGGCUCGAAAGCGUGGGGAGCAAACAGGAUUAGAUACCCUGGUAGUCCACGCGGUAAACGAUGAAUGCUAGGUGU
rnacentral:rRNA from 1 species